rnacentral:lncRNA from 1 species
UAUGAGCAGGCGCUAAACCUGGUUUAGGUAUUUAGGCAGCGCGCGGCCCGGCUCGUAACUCCUCCUGCUGCAGCAGGCGUAUCGUUGGCCUCGCCUCGACCCCGGAAGUGACUUCUGGAAGUGACCCAGGAAGUGACAUACUCUGAGCAGCUACAAAAAGAAGACCAGUCUAUCCUGCUGGAGACAGUGGCCACGUGAAGAAAGAGCUCUUGCAGUAUGAAAGACCACAUGGAAAGAGAGGCCACAUGGAACCAACAGUCAGCAUCUUGGUUUCGGACACGUGAAGAAAUUCAUCUCAGACUGUGUAUCCUAAAUCAGGCACUUGCUGAAUCUAACUACAUGAGUGAGACCAGUUGACAACACAUGGAGCAGACAUGAGCUGUUCUCAGUGAGUCCUACACAAAUUCCUGACUCACAACACUGUGAGCAAUAAAAUGGUUGUUAUUUUAAGC